UUACAUUAAUGUCAGAGACUUCAAUAAAAAACUAAAAAUAGACAAAGUUUCAAUCAACGAAUAUUGAUAGUUAGGAACCGCAUCCAAAUGUCGCAUAAUAAUAUUGACAAAAAAAAAAAAGUAAUUAAGUUGAAGCAAUCUGAUGCUCCUCGAUCUUUCUCCUGCGCCUCAGCCAGUUAAAAUGGAAAUCUAACGUUUGGGGAAGGCAACAGUCUUGCAAAUACAAGAAAAAUAUCAUAAUGUGUCGGUCAUAUCAAGCAACAAAACACGGAAUGUGCCUCAUGCUUUGAAGUUACAAAAUUUGUAUUAAACCUACUGCUGCAUUGUGAACCUUGUAACUGAAUCUUAGGGGACAAUUUCGGUCUUCGAGGACUAAAACCUUUGUUCUUCAUCAUGGUGUAAGCACCUUAAACACCACAAUAAGAAGACUUGCUCAACAUCCUUUUGAUUAAAAAGUGUGCUAUUCACACAUCAUUUUUUAUCUCUCACACAACCUCUUAAUUUUCGACCAUUGGAUCGAAUGAGUUGAAGAAGAUUAAAUGAUAGAAAUGAAUUAGGGAUGUGUGAGAAGUAAAAAUGGGUGUGAAUAUCACACCCCUUGAUUAAUCAGUCAUGUCUAUCAUUUUUUUAUAUCUUUUCUUUGGUAGGAUUCGGUAUAGAAUAGAUUUCACCUUGAGUACGUUUUAAACUGUGAGAUACAUCUACUCUUUCAUUAUGUAAGCUCAUUCAGUAUCCAACUAUUGUCAAAACUGCAUCAUGUUUUUACUUGGAACGACGUGCACAUUACGCACCAAUCCAUAGAAAUCCUAAAAAAUCCAUGAAAAUACUAAAAUCCUAAGAAAUCCAUACAAAGCCAUACAAAAUUAUAAUAGAAAUCCAUAUAAUAUGUCAGAAUCCAUGUUGAAUUGCAAGUCUAUUAAAAUCCUCUGAAAAUUGUCACUUAAAAAAAAAUCCAUUAAAAUCCCUUGAAAUUCAAAUUGACUAUAUCGUCUUAGACUUGAAAUAGUUAUAAUAUUUAAAAAGUGGGCCAAAUGCGACUUAGUACUACUGUCUAGUAGUAUUCCUCUUCACUUGUAAGUGAAAGGUUUUAUGUUCGAUUCUCGCAAAAGGUAAAUUUGAACCACAUUAUUGCUAGCCUAUUAUUGGCUUAGCCUACUCCCCCACCCCUUUAGUGAAGAUAAUAUCAUUUGUUCAAAAACAAAAGUGGGCCAAAUAAUAUAUAGGAUAAUACUUGCAUUCUCCCAUAAGGGAAUGCACGUAUUCUCCUAUUUACGAAUAAUAUAUCUUGACCGAAUAAAAUCAACGGUCGGAACUGCUCGAUUUAUUAAUUCUUUAUUCAAAGACCAAAUAUAUCAAAUAAAUGAAUGAUUCAUCAUGAAUAUAUUACUUUAUACCUACAUGUUCUAGUUGUUCUAUACAUUUGAAUAACUAAAUAAUCUCUAAUUGAAAUGAUAUUUUGUAGAAGUGAUAUUCAAAUGAAGAUUAAUAAAUUGAACUGUUCUAAUUAUAAAAUUUGUACGACCAAGAUACAUUAUUCGAAAAGAGGAAUGAGAUGAUCCCCGAUAAGGGAAUACAAGUAUUAUCCUAAUAUGUAUGAAUAAUAUGAUUUGUUAUAUUCCUAAGUCCAAACUUGGAGUGGGAACAAUGCAUGUCCAUGUGGGAACAGGCAUCAUAUGUUGGUGAGGCAUCAGCUUUUGGUCUAACAAAACU
rnacentral:lncRNA from 1 species